rnacentral:rRNA from 1 species
GAUGAACGCUGGCGGCGUGCUUAACACAUGCAAGUCGAACGGUGAAGGCGGAGCUUGCUCUGCUGGAUCAGUGGCGAACGGGUGAGUAACACGUGAGCAAUCUGCCCCUGACUCUGGGAUAAGCGCUGGAAACGGCGUCUAAUACUGGAUACGAGCUGCGAAGGCAUCUUCAGCAGCUGGAAAGAAUUUCGGUCAGGGAUGAGCUCGCGGCCUAUCAGCUUGUUGGUGAGGUAAUGGCUCACCAAGGCGUCGACGGGUAGCCGGCCUGAGAGGGUGACCGGCCACACUGGGACUGAGACACGGCCCAGACUCCUACGGGAGGCAGCAGUGGGGAAUAUUGCACAAUGGGCGAACGCCUGAUGCAGCAACGCCGCGUGAGGGACGACGGCCUUCGGGUUGUAAACCUCUUUUAGCAGGGAAGAAGCGAAAGUGACGGUACCUGCAGAAAAAGCGCCGGCUAACUACGUG